rnacentral:rRNA from 1 species
GAUGAACGCUGGCGGCGUGCCUAACACAUGCAAGUCGAGCGAGGGUUUGCUCAGUAUUGAGUAUUCUAAAACUAGAAUGUUCAAUUCUGAGCAAAACCAAGCGGCGGACGGGUGAGUAACGCGUGGGUAACCUGCCCUAUACACAUGGAUAACAUACUGAAAAGUUUACUAAUACAUGAUAAUAUAUAUUUGUGGCAUCGCAGAUAUAUCAAAGUGUUAGCGGUAUAGGAUGGACCCGCGUCUGAUUAGCUAGUUGGUGAGAUAACUGCCCACCAAGGCGACGAUCAGUAGCCGACCUGAGAGGGUGAUCGGCCACAUUGGAACUGAGACACGGUCCAAACUCCUACGGGAGGCAGCAGUGGGGAAUAUUGCACAAUGGGCGAAAGCCUGAUGCAGCAACGCCGCGUGAACGAUGAAGGUCUUCGGAUCGUAAAGUUCUGUUGCAGGGGAAGAUAAUGACGGUACCCUGUGAGGAAGCCCCGGCUAACUACGUGCCAGCAGCCGCGGUAAUACGUAGGGGGCUAGCGUUAUCCGGAUUUACUGGGCGUAAAGGGUGCGUAGGUGGUCCUUCAAGUCGGUGGUUAAAGGCUACGGCUCAACCGUAGUAAGCCGCCGAAACUGGAGGACUUGAGUGCAGGAGAGGAAAGUGGAAUUCCCAGUGUAGCGGUGAAAUGCGUAGAUAUUGGGAGGAACACCAGUAGCGAAGGCGGCUUUCUGGACUGCAACUGACACUGAGGCACGAAAGCGUGGGUAGCAAACAGG